rnacentral:rRNA from 1 species
CCUACGGGUGGCAGCAGUAAGGGAUAUUGGUCAAUGGGCGAAACCCUGAACCAGCAACGCCGCGUGAGGGAAGACGGUUUUCGGAUUUUAAACCUCUUUCCUCUGUGAAGAUGAUGACGGUAGCAGAGGAGGAAGCUCCGGCUAACUACGUGCCAGCAGCGGCGGUAAUACGUAGGGAGCGGGCGUGGUCCGGAUUUACUGGGUGUUAUGGGUGCGUAGGCGGCUUGGCAAGUCCGUAGUGAAAUCCAUGGGCUUAAACCAUGACCGGCUAUUGAAACUGUCGAGCUUGAGUGAAGUAGAGGUAGGCGGAAUUCCCGGUGUAGCGGUGAAAUGCGUAGAGAUCGGGAGGAAAACCAGUGGCGAAGGCGGCCUACUGGGCUUUAACUGACGCUGAGGCACGAAAGCGUGGGUAGCAAACAGGAUUAGAUACCCUGGUAGUC